GACGAACGCUGGCGGCGUGCCUAAUACAUGCAAGUCGAACGAGAGCGACCGGUGCUUGCACUGGUCAAUCUAGUGGCGAACGGGUGAGUAACACGUGGGUAACCUACCCAUCAGAGGGGGAUAACAUCCGGAAACGGAUGCUAAAACCGCAUAGGUCUUCGAGCCGCAUGGCUUGAAGAGGAAAAGAGGCGCAAGCUUCUGCUGAUGGAUGGACCCGCGGUGCAUUAGCUAGUUGGUGAGGUAACGGCUCACCAAGGCCGUGAUGCAUAGCCGACCUGAGAGGGUGAUCGGCCACAUUGGGACUGAGACACGGCCCAAACUCCUACGGGAGGCAGCAGUAGGGAAUCUUCCGCAAUGGACGCAAGUCUGACGGAGCAACGCCACGUGAGUGAAGAAGGUUUUCGGAUCGUAAAACUCUGUUGUUAGAGAAGAACAAGUGCUAGAGUAACUGUUAGCGCCUU
rnacentral:rRNA from 1 species